AAUGCACUUUUCUUUUUUUGCAUUCAACAUUAUUUUGUAUUUGAUGCAGGUGUAUAGCACAGCAAUUAGGCAAUCAUAUACUUUACAAAGUGUCCCUCCCAAUAUUUCAGGUACCUGCCUGGCACUGUAUACACAGUUAGACUGUAUUCCCUGCACUUUAUUUUACAUCCCUAUGACUAUUUUGUAACUACCAAUUGGUA